ACCAGGAUGGCCGAGAGGUUAAGGCGUUGGACUUAAGAUCCAAUGGGUUCGAGCCCCACUCCUGGUA